GGUACCUUAACUAAAGUGUUCCAUCUGUGUUUGGGAAAUUGGUAUUAUUUUUACCAGGUACUU
rnacentral:tRNA from 1 species